rnacentral:rRNA from 1 species
AUUGAACGCUGGCGGCAGGCCUAACACAUGCAAGUCGAGCGGAAGAAGGGAGCUUGCUCCUGGAUUCAGCGGCGGACGGGUGUGUAAUGCCUAGGAAUCUGCCUGGUAGUGGGGGAUAACGUCCGGAAACGGGCGCUAAUACCGCAUACGUCCUGAGGCAGAAAGUGGGGGAUCUUCGGACCUCACGCUAUCAGAUGAGCCUAGGUCGGAUUAGCUAGCUGGUGGGGUAAAGGCCUACCAAGGCGACGAUCCGUAACUGGUCUGAGAGGAUGAUCAGUCACACUGGAACUGAGACACGGUCCAGACUCCUACGGGAGGCAGCAGUGGGGAAUAGUGGACAAUGGGCGGAAGCCUGAUCCAACCAUGCCGCGUGUGUGGAGAAGAUCUUCGGAGUGUGAAGCACUUUAAGUUGGGAGGAAGGGCAGUAAGUUAAUACCUUGCUGUAUUGACGUUACCAACAGAAUAAGCACCGGCUAACUUCGUG